rnacentral:rRNA from 1 species
GGUUAAGCGACUAAGCGUACACGGUGGAUGCCCUGGCAGUCAGAGGCGAUGAAGGGCGUGCUAAUCUGCGAUAAGCGCCGGUAAGGUGAUAUGAACCGUUAUAACCGGCGAUACCCGAAUGGGGAAACCCAGUGUGACUCGUCACACUAUCAUUAACUGAAUCCAUAGGUUAAUGAGGCGAACCGGGGGAACUGAAACAUCUAAGUACCCCGAGGAAAAGAAAUCAACCGAGAUUCCCCCAGUAGCGGCGAGCGAACGGGGAGGAGCCCAGAGCCUGAAUCAGCAUGUGUGUUAGUGGAAGCGUCUGGAAAGGCGCGCGAUACAGGGUGACAGCCCCGUACACAAAAGCGCAUGUGCUGUGAGCUCGAUGAGUAGGGCGGGACACGUGGUAUCCUGUCUGAAUAUGGGGGGACCAUCCUCCAAGGCUAAAUACUCCUGACUGACCGAUAGUGAACCAGUACCGUGAGGGAAAGGCGAAAAGAACCCCGGCGAGGGGAGUGAAAAAGAACCUGAAACCGUGUACGUACAAGCAGUGGGAGCACAGGUUUACCUGUGUGACUGCGUACCUUUUGUAUAAUGGGUCAGCGACUUAUAUUCUGUAGCAAGGUUAACCGAAUAGGGGAGCCGGAGGGAAACCGAGUCUUAACCGGGCGUUAAGUUGCAGGGUAUAGACCCGAAACCCGGUGAUCUAGCCAUGGGCAGGUUGAAGGUUGGGUAACACUAACUGGAGGACCGAACCGACUAAUGUUGAAAAAUUAGCGGAUGACCUGUGGCUGGGGGUGAAAGGCCAAUCAAACCGGGAGAUAGCUGGUUCUCCCCGAAAGCUAUUUAGGUAGCGCCUCGUGAAUUCAUCUCCGGGGGUAGAGCACUGUUUCGGCUAGGGGGCCAUCCCGGCUUACCAACCCGAUGCAAACUGCGAAUACCGGAGAAUGUUAUCACGGGAGACACACGGCGGGUGCUAACGUCCGUCGUGAAGAGGGAAACAACCCAGACCGCCAGCUAAGGUCCCAAAGUCAUGGUUAAGUGGGAAACGAUGUGGGAAGGCCCAGACAGCCAGGAUGUUGGCUUAGAAGCAGCCAUCAUUUAAAGAAAGCGUAAUAGCUCACUGGUCGAGUCGGCCUGCGCGGAAGAUGUAACGGGGCUAAACCAUGCACCGAAGCUGCGGCAGCGACGCUGAUGCGUUGUUGGGUAGGGGAGCGUUCUGUAAGCCUGCGAAGGUGGCCUGUGAGGGUUGCUGGAGGUAUCAGAAGUGCGAAUGCUGACAUAAGUAACGAUAAAGCGGGUGAAAAGCCCGCUCGCCGGAAGACCAAGGGUUCCUGUCCAACGUUAAUCGGGGCAGGGUGAGUCGACCCCUAAGGCGAGGCCGAAAGGCGUAGUCGAUGGGAAACGGGUUAAUAUUCCCGUACUUGGUGUUACUGCGAAGGGGGGACGGAGAAGGCUAUGUUGGCCGGGCGACGGUUGUCCCGGUUUAAGCGUGUAGG